rnacentral:rRNA from 1 species
AUACGGAGGAUCCAAGCGUUAUCCGGAAUCAUUGGGUUUAAAGGGUCCGUAGGUGGGUUUGUAAGUCAGUGGUGAAAGUUUUCGGCUCAACCGGAAAAUUGCCAUUGAUACUGCAAGUCUUGAAUCAUUAUGAAGUGGUUAGAAUGUGUAGUGUAGCGGUGAAAUGCAUAGAUAUUACGCAGAAUACCGAUUGCGAAGGCAGAUCACUAAUAAUGUAUUGACGCUAAGGGACGAAAGCGUGGGUAGCGAACAGGAUUAGAAACCCCAGUAGUCC